rnacentral:lncRNA from 1 species
GGGAAUGCAAAUUCAUAAAUAAUUCAACUGAAAUAUUAAGCAAUCAUGGUUAGGCUACAUCAUAGCCCUAGCAAAAUGAAAUUAAUUCCAAAACAUAAUCGAAAGUGGUACUAAAUCCUUAAGAAAUAAGAAGAAAUUUAGUUUAGAAAAAACUUGAAAAAUCCCUUGCUUUGUUGCACCUCUCGUCUGCCUUCUUCCCUUAGUCCCUGUUUUUUUUUUCUUGCCUCUUCCAAUCAUGACCAGGUUGCCUCUUUGAUUCCUCCAAUCAGCUGUUUCUUUUUUGUAACCGUCGAGACGUUAACGCCCAUUUAUUGAUUAAAAAAAUAGCAGAUAAGAAGCGGAAAAGAAUUGAAUUCUUCACCAGCCACUUCGUACACUCAAGCACCCAUGUUGCCUCUUUUCACUCUCCGCUUGAUUGGUAACUGAUAUUUCAUCAUCCAAUUCCACUUCCAAUAAAUCUUGAACUAGCCAAACUGCCCACUGCAAGUGAACGGAAUGGGCAGCCAAAAUGUGAAAACUGAAUAUGCCCACACCAUUCGUCCACCGAUAACCCACAAACAAGAGAUUGAAAUAGAAAUUCGGUGUGUCGGUUCUGAUCUACUCAUUUCAUUCUCUCUUCCUCUUCUGCCAUGGUGUGUCGGUUGUAAGUCUAGGAAAAUGAGAUAAAAUAAUGCAAAUUCUUCUUUCUUUUGUGGGUUCGAGUUCAAGAAAAACCAGCCUGGUAGUCACGUGCAUAAAUUUGUUGCACUAAUAGGUUGACAAGUCAACUUCCUUUGCUUGCAAAAGGAUAGAAAUGCUGCUCC